UUUACAUUAAACUUUUAUUGUCAUCUUUCUUGAAUCAAGAGCAGGAAAACGCAGUCCUGAGGGGAGUUUCAUUUGCAUAUUGCUCAACAGCUUGACGUCUUCAAUUGGAACACAGCAAAGUGUACAACAGGCCACCUGAUUUUUCAUAGCCGAGAACGAAAUGGGAAAUUGAAGAGAAAGAAGAAUUUCAUUCCACUCCACUUAUUUGGUUUAAAUUCACUUCAAAAAAAUAUGAAAUGUCUCAUUCAGUUUAAUUCAUGCAAAUGAAGCCUAUAGAGGAUGACAGAAAUCAUAUGGUAAAGACUUUCCCAAAUGCUCUGACUGAGAGUGAAGCAGUUUUACACCGUUUUUGAGGGGGAUACCAUAAAAUACUGUUGAAAUAGCUGGAGAUUGUAUUGAAAACCUUCGUAGAUUGGAGGAGAGUAAUAAUUUAGGAUUCAAAUUAAAAAGAAGAUUCCAAUAACCUGGGAAACAGUGUGCUGAAACUGGAUUUUUGCAGAAGAGACAAGAGGCUACCUAAUAAUGCUACUUCUGCAAAUGGGUGUCCAGAAUUGAAAGGUGUGACUGAAUCACUGACUUCUUAUCUGGCGAUUAGAUGUGAACUACCGUGGAUGUAAGAAUCACAGUAUCUCCUAAAAGAGAAAGAGUAGCAGGACUGCUUGUGAGAAAAGUGCUCCUCUUAAAGAUACAGUCUGACUCAAGAGGAGAUAUUGACUAUUGAUUGCUAUGGAAAAUAUUAAGAAGUGUUUUGGACUACUUCCAAUCAUCCAACUGAAGGAUCAUCCAACACAAAAGAUUAUCAAAGCUUUGUUAAACAUGUAAAGAAUUUUCCUCUUAAAAUAGGCAGUGAAAUUACUGGAUUGCUUGUUCCAGCAAUUCUCAAGGUUUGGAUCAGAGGAAUCUCUUGAAAAUUAUUGUGGACCCCAAAGAGAUUUGGCUAUCUAUUCCAGUCAUUGAUGGGGAGCUCCAUGAUCACUUUGGGUCAGAAAUCUCCCAUGAGGUUAAGGAUGGAACUGGUCAACUUGAAAACAAAUGGUCAAAGUCUCAGACCAGGAACACUUAAAGUUCCUGCUAACAACAACAAAAGACAAGCUUGCUAAACAG